GACGAACGCUGGCGGCGUGCUUAACACAUGCAAGUCGAACGGAAAGGCUCCAGCUUGCUGGAGUACUCGAGUGGCGAACGGGUGAGUAACACGUGGGUAAUCUGCCCUGCACUCUGGGAUAAGCCUGGGAAACUGGGUCUAAUACUGGAUAUGACCUUUCUCCUUAUGGGGUUUGGUGGAAAGUUUUUCGGUGUAGGAUGAGCCCGCGGCCUAUCAGCUUGUUGGUGGGGUGAUGGCCUACCAAGGCGACGACGGGUAGCCGGCCUGAGAGGGUGAUCGGCCACAUUGGGACUGAGAUACGGCCCAGACUCCUACGGGAGGCAGCAGUGGGGAAUAGUGCACAAUGGGCGGAAGCCUGAUGCAGCGACGCCGCGUGAGGGAUGACGGCCUUCGGGUUGUAAACCUCUUUCAGCAGGGACGAAGCGUAAGUGACGGUACCUGCAGAAGAAGCACCGGCUAACUACG
rnacentral:rRNA from 1 species